AGCUGCCCCAGCUACUCCAUGGAGCCCAGUUGCCGCUGACUGACAUAAAGAAAAUCGAAAUGUCAAAGACAGAGGAAAAGUGAAUAAGGCAAAAGAGCAGAAAACAUAUUUGAUUACUGACCUGGACAAGGUCUGACACUGCACAUGAUGACCUCCACUGCCUUCCCCUCACAAGGCCUGCCUCUAUGCUGAGCAGGUGGGUUACUGCAGGUCCGGACCCUGGUCCUGUUGCCCUGGCCGCAGGUACGAGAACACUCCUCCCAGAGAGACCACUCUGACCAGUUACCAUCCACUGUAGAGGGACAGAGGGCUUUCCCUGACAACUACGUGACUCUGUAUCUGAUCCUGCACAGUGACGCCCUCCAUUGGCAGGUAGAGGAUUGUUACACUGUCUCAGCCUCUUCUGGAGCCCGACACCACAGGACACACUGCAAGGACCCCACUCUGCCCACUCCGAGUAGCCCCCGUGAACUGGAAAACAAAUGAAUGCACAUUAACACCACAUGCCUUCAGUCAUUUGGUUACAUUUGUUAAUGGAAGUUGACUCAAAAAUAUGGUACAACAAAAAAAAUCCAGCUCACCUCGCACAGUAAAAGUGACCCUGACCAGCACUGAUCCCAGCAGGUUUCUGGCCACACAUUCAUAUUCAGAGGUGUCCUCCUUCUGGGCACUGCUGACCCUGAGGGAACCGUUGGACAGGGUGGAGAAGCGGUCAUUGCCCAGCAAGGGGCGCCCCUGGCGGGACCAUUCAAUCAUGGGGGUAGGCUCACCAUCCGCCUGACAGUUGAGCACAACUGUGGUGCCAGCAUCCACCACUGUCUCCACUGGCUCCACUGUGAUUGUGGGUGCACCUGGAAAAAAGGACAGAUCCAUGUAAGCUGGAAUUCCACUGAUUCCACACAUCAACAUCAGUUUAACAGACAAUUAUAAAUGAGAAAAGAUUCCCUGAUUAUGUCCCUGUUUAAGGUGAAAUACUAAAUCACUGGAGUAACAGGACACUUACUCUGCAAGGUAUAGGUACCAGAGUCGUCUUUGCUCACCCUCUCUAUCACCAGCUCACUGUGGCCGUUCAUAUGAUCGUAAUGCACUAAAGCAUUAACAAAAGGGGAUCUUGCUAUAUACCUGGGAUGAUGUUGUUGUUAAAGGCCCAUGUGAUUUUGGGUGGAGGGAUGCCACUGACUCCACAGGACAGCAGGAGGCGCUCUCCCUUGUUGAGGGCCACAUCUCCGAGCAGCUCAGUGA